rnacentral:tRNA from 1 species
GGGAGAGUCGUCUAGAAAUUAUGGAUAGGAUGAAGGGUCAACACAUAAUCCCUUAUGACGGAGGUUCAAAUCCUCUCUCUCCCGCCA